rnacentral:lncRNA from 10 species
CUCUUGGACUCGCUUGCUAUUCCCGAAAAGGGGGAAAGGAUUUGGGGGGGACAAUCGCGGAGCCUCUCGCUGGCUUUAGGGAGAGAGGGCUGGGGUAGAGGAGAGCCCCAGGGAGCAGGCAGAGGUGGGUUGGCUAGGGCCUUGUGUGACUUGGGCUGAGAAACUUCACUUAUUCCCUGGCGCUGGCAGUUGUCAAACUGGGUCUUGUAGAUGCUAAGUCUCCAUAGAGGUAUCGUAGGGAUGACCUUUUUCCUGAAGAAACUGCUGCAGAAUGAAAGCUCCAGGCGCUUGGGUGCAGCAAGUAGGCUAUGCAUUUCCCACCAGCAGGAAUCUAGCUCCUGGCCAAGGAAAUCAUACGUGAUGUGUAGGGAAGUGUGUGGGGCAGUGGAAGGAAUGUGGACCGUUGCCUCCCUUCGCUUGUCUGGAUGACCUUGGAUGAGGCCUCAAUCCUGGUAGUCACCUGGACUCCUCCUGAAUUUCCCGCAUGUCCUGCAGCAGUGACCCCAUCUGACAUGUUGUGUGGCUGGCUGUCCCCCAGUGAAAUCAUAGCCCUGGAGGGCAGGGUGUGUUUCUUCGUUUUCCUGCCUGGUGUGUGGAGACCCUGUGUGACCGUGGCGCAGAUCAGGAGCUCG